rnacentral:ncRNA from 1 species
GUACCGGGGAGCUCGCGCCGGAAGCGGGCUGAGAGUAGGCUGUACGCCUUGACCCGAAUAACCUGAUUUGGAUAAUGCCAACGUAGGGAUGCAG